CACCGGGCUCCGACAACGACAACUACCGGGCCAAACGGUCAUGAAGCUGGAAGUGGCUGCUGCUGCUGUCUGCCGGAAGGAGGAGGAGGAGGAGCGGCCGCCGCUCCUGUUGCUCAGCUCGCUCUCGCUCGAUCGGAGACGGAUCAUGGAAUUAAAAGGAAGGAAAUUGUCUCCAGCAAAGUGCAGUUAUCUGGACUUCAGUUUAACUCCAGGAUUUUAAAGGAAACCAGCUAACUUCAAACAGCCGCAGCAUUCAACAAUCUAUGCCUCAAGGACAAGCAAAGGACUUAAUUGUGUAUCUUUUUAACUUUUAUUUGGAUUCUGACUUCUUUAUUGUGUGUGUCGUUGCAUCUUUAACUAUGUUUCCUCGGCUUUAGUAGCUAAUAAACUUGCUUUAUCUUUGA